rnacentral:rRNA from 1 species
GAUGAACGCUAGCGGCAGGCUUAACACAUGCAAGUCGAGGGGUAACGAUGGCUUCGGCCAGGCGACGACCGGCGCACGGGUGCGUAACGCGUAUGCAAUCUGCCUUUGACAGGGGGAUAGCCCCGAGAAAUCGGGAUUAAUACCUCAUAAUAUCUAUUUAUGGCCUCAUAAAUAGCUCAAAGCUCCGGCGGUCAAAGAUGAGCAUGCGUCCCAUUAGUUAGUUGGUAGGGUAACGGCCUACCAAGACGUCGAUGGGUAGGGGUUCUGAGAGGAUGAUCCCCCACACUGGUACUGAGACACGGACCAGACUCCUACGGGAGGCAGCAGUGAGGAAUAUUGGGCAAUGGACGCAAGUCUGACCCAGCCAUGCCGCGUGCAGGAAGACAGCCCUAUGGGUUGUAAACUGCUUUUGUAUGGGAAGAAUAGCGAUUACGUGUAAUUGUAUGCCCGGUACCAUACGAAUAAGCAUCGGCUAACUCCGUGCCAGCAGCCGCGGUAAUACGGAGGAUGCAAGCGUUAUCCGGAUUUAUUGGGUUUAAAGGGUGCGCAGGCGGGUCUGUAAGUCAGUGGUGAAAUUUUCCGGCUCAACUGGGAAACUGCCGUUGAUACUGCAGGUCUAGAGUACAUUUGACGUGGGCGGAAUGUAGCAUGUAGCGGUGAAAUGCUUAGAUAUGCUACAGAACACCGAUUGCGAAGGCAGCUCACGAAACUGACACUGACGCUGAGGCACGAAAGCGUGGGCAGCGAACAGGAUUAGAUACCCUGGUAGUCCACGCUGUAAACGAUGAUCACUCGCUGUUGGCGAUACACAGUCAGCGGCCAAGCGAAAGUAUUAAGUGAUCCACCUGGGGAGUACGCUCGCAAGAGUGAAACUCAAAGGAAUUGACGGGGGCCCGCACAAGCGGAGGAGCAUGUGGUUUAAUUCGAUGAUACGCGAGGAACCUUACCAAGGCUCAAAUGCAGAACGACGUAUGGGGAAACCUGUAUUUCUUAGGACGGACUGCAAGGUGCUGCAUGGUUGUCGUCAGCUCGUGCCGUGAGGUGUCGGGUUAAGUCCCAUAACGAGCGCAACCCCUAUUCUUAGUUGCCAUCAGGUAAAGCUGGGGACUCUGAGAAAACUGCCUACGCAAGUAGAGAGGAAGGUGGGGAUGACGUCAAAUCAGCACGGCCCUUACGCCUUGGGCUACACACGUGCUACAAUGGCCGGUACAGAGGGCAGCCACCUGGCGACAGGGCGCAAAUCUCGAAAACCGGUCUCAGUUCGGAUUGGAGUCUGCAACUCGACUCUAUGAAGCUGGAUUCGCUAGUAAUCGCGUAUCAGCCAUGACGCGGUGAAUACGUUCCCGGGCCU